rnacentral:rRNA from 1 species
UGGGGAAUUUUGGACAAUGGGCGAAAGCCUGAUCCAGCAAUGCCGCGUGUGUGAAGAAGGCCUUCGGGUUGUAAAGCACUUUUGUCCGGAAAGAAAUCCUCUGGGUUAAUACCUCGGGGGGAUGACGGUACCGGAAGAAUAAGCACCGGCUAACUACGUGCCAGCAGCCGCGGUAAUACGUAGGGUGCAAGCGUUAAUCGGAAUUACUGGGCGUAAAGCGUGCGCAGGCGGUUUUGUAAGACGGAUGUGAAAUCCCCGGGCUUAACCUGGGAACUGCAUUCGUGACUGCAAGGCUAGAGUAUGGCAGAGGGGGGUAGAAUUCCACGUGUGAGCAGUGAAAUGCGUAGAGAUGUGGAGGAAUACUG